GACGAUGCAACGUGAAGAAUCAGGAUGGACUUAGCUGUGAGAAGUGUGCAAAGCCCAGACAGAAGAGACUGGUCUUGUGGAAUCUGGGAGAAAGAGUGCGCGCUUGUUUGAAAUGGAAAAGUGUUGCGGUAGCUAUUGAUAAAGAAGAACAUCAAGAUGAAGCAGCUGCUUUACAAGUGGGAUGCACUGUUGAGCGCUACAUCCCGAGGGGUUCGUGCUGAUUGUACGGAGAUUGUGAUAGCCGGUUAAAUGGCGCCCCUUGACAAAGCAAGAACAAGAUAUUCCCAUAAGGUCUCAGACUCCAGGAUGGGAAAAUUAACAAGAAAGAAACAGAUGAAGAAACAUAAGGAAGCCAUGAGACCCUGUUGUAUUUUAAAUAGUUAAUCUGUUGUCAAUUUCUAUUCUGAUUUGUGAUGUUAAAAAAGGGGAGAAAAAGACAACCCCUGUUUAUCUGAAUUAGCUAGGCUACUCACUGAAUAUAUCCCUCAAUGAUUGAUACAGAUUUGAGUAACUGCAAUUAAAAUUGUUUUCCCAAUGUAUCCUUGUAUUAAAAUACAUGUUUUUACUAUGUUUGAGGAGAUUAUAUUCUGUUAUAAAUGUCUUCAACUAAUUAAUAAAUGGCCAGAAGUUUUCAA